rnacentral:rRNA from 1 species
GACGAACGCUGGCGGCGUGCUUAACACAUGCAAGUCGAACGGAAAGGCCCUGCUUUUGUGGGGUGCUCGAGUGGCGAACGGGUGAGUAACACAUGAGUAACCUGCCCUUGACUUUGGGAUAACUUCAGGAAACUGGGGCUAAUACCGGAUAGGAGCUCCUGCUGCAUGGUGGGGGUUGGAAAGUUUCGGCGGUUGGGGAUGGACUCGCGGCUUAUCAGCUUGUUGGUGGGGUAGUGGCUUACCAAGGCUUUGACGGGUAGCCGGCCUGAGAGGGUGACCGGCCACAUUGGGACUGAGAUACGGCCCAGACUCCUACGGGAGGCAGCAGUGGGGAAUAUUGCACAAUGGGCGGAAGCCUGAUGCAGCAACGCCGCGUGCGGGAUGACGGCCUUCGGGUUGUAAACCGCUUUCGCCUGUGACGAAGCGUGAGUGACGGUAAUGGGUAAAGAAGCACCGGCUAACUACGUGCCAGCAGCCGCGGUGAUACGUAGGGUGCGAGCGUUGUCCGGAUUUAUUGGGCGUAAAGGGCUCGUAGGUGGUUGAUCGCGUCGGAAGUGUAAUCUUGGGGCUUAACCCUGAGCGUGCUUUCGAUACGGGUUGACUUGAGGAAGGUAGGGGAGAAUGGAAUUCCUGGUGGAGCGGUGGAAUGCGCAGAUAUCAGGAGGAACACCAGUGGCGAAGGCGGUUCUCUGGGCCUUUCCUGACGCUGAGGAGCGAAAGCGUGGGGAGCGAACAGGCUUAGAUACCCUGGUAGUCCACGCUGUAAACGGUGGGUACUAGGUGUGGGGUCCAUUCCACGGGUUCCGUGCCGUAGCUAACGCUUUAAGUACCCCGCCUGGGGAGUACGGCCGCAAGGCUAAAACUCAAAGGAAUUGACGGGGCCCCGCACAAGCGGCGGAGCAUGCGGAUUAAUUCGAUGCAACGCGUAGAACCUUACCUGGGUUUGACAUGGAUCGGGAGUGCUCAGAGAUGGGUGUGCCUCUUUUGGGGUCGGUUCACAGGUGGUGCAUGGCUGUCGUCAGCUCGUGUCGUGAGAUGUUGGGUUAAGUCCCGCAACGAGCGCAACCCUUGUUCACUGUUGCCAGCACGUUAUGGUGGGGACUCAGUGGAGACCGCCGGGGUCAACUCGGAGGAAGGUGGGGAUGACGUCAAGUCAUCAUGCCCCUUAUGUCCAGGGCUUCACGCAUGCUACAAUGGCUGGUACAGAGAGUGGCGAGCCUGUGAGGGUGAGCGAAUCUCGGAAAGCCGGUCUCAGUUCGGAUGGGGGUCUGCAACUCGACUUCAUGAAGUGGGAGUCGCUAGUAAUCGCAGAUCAGCAACGCUGCGGUGAAGACGUUCCCGGG